AUUCUCUCUUUGCCUGCUGCCAUCCAUGUAAGAUGGGGCUUGCUCUCCACCAUGAUUUUUAGGCUUCCCCAGCCAACUGAAACUAGUCUUUUAGAAUCCAUUCACAGGACUUGAAUCCUGGAUCUGAGUUUGCAAAAGAAAUGAAGCUAAUGAAAGACAAGGAACUUCUGGUCUUAGUUGAGAUGCAAAAAGAAUUUCAAGGAGAAGUCAAGGAACAAAAAACAAUGGCCAAAAUCAUGCUCUUCCUCACGGAUGACUUUACUUGCUUUCCCCACCAACUGAAUUUGAAAUCACUGUUAUGUGCUCCCAUGAUACCUUUAACUCCAUGAAUUUCAUCCACCAUAUAAUAAGGUAGAUGAUAUUCAUUUCCCACCAGGUGAAAGCUCUCAAGUCUGGAAGUCCUAAAUCAAGCUGAGGGCUGAGCCACGCUUCUUCCAAAGCUUCCAGGAGAGGACCCUUCUUUGCCUCUUCCAGCUUCUGGAAAACAUUUCCAUCUGGCUUUCCUCUGUCUGACUUAAACAAUGAUUUUCCAUCCUACCUGAACAUUAUAAUCAUCUGGAAGA
rnacentral:lncRNA from 10 species